ensembl:lncRNA
AUGGGAAUAUCUAAAGUCGUGGAGCUGCUUUCCAAAGUGCUGGAAGAAAAUAAAUUGAUGAAAGCGGAAAUUACCAACCUGGGGAGUGAAGUGAGGGCGCUUAGGAGAGAGAUGGUGAGGCCGGUAGCACCAGAAGCUGCCGCUUCGUCCAUCAAGCUGCCUCUGAGGACAAUGGAGGAGUUUCAAUUAGCAGAGGCUGUUAUGAGAGAAACCCCCUGCGAAAAACAAAAGAUGAUCUUAACAUUCAGUCUAAUUGGAGGGCACACUGCAGAAGAGGCCGUAAGAAGGAUGUUGCAGAGUGGCCUAACAAAUAACCUGGCGUGUCGCUUCAACUGGGCAGGGAAAGGCUUCAAGGAAGCCUUUAAAAGCACUGUCCUUAGUGAUGUACUGUUCGCUGCACUCCAAAAACAGCUGCCAGGGACCACCCAUAUUGUUUUUUCAGGGACACUGAAGAAGUGGCUUAAAUAUGCACCGGAGAGAGAGGGAGGUGGAGGGAGGCGAACAAAUGAACGCGAUCAGGCGCCGCAGGAUCCUCGACCAUGAAUGAAUGUGUGUGUGUAAAUAAUAAUUAUAUUCGUUAGAAUAAUAGGGUUAAUUGGGUUUGGGUUGUUCGUGUUCGGUUAUCACGUUGUAUUGUUCAUUAUUGUCGCCACCGUUGUUGUGUCAUGUUUGUUUGUUGGGUGCUCUAUGUGAGAGGAUUUUAAUAAAAGUAGUCUGCGUCGAGGGGUGUACGGUGCGCAGAACUACAGUUAAAUAAAGCCUGACUGUGCGUUUCUUGGCCGCCGCUACAAUAUGUUUGACAACAAUAGCCUAUGUUCUGUGUAUUCAUAUAUUCAUUAGAGCCUUGAAGGAGAUUCAGUAGCCUUAAAAUCCUAAUUUAAUUGUAGAGUCAUAUCAUGAUGUCCUUUAAAUAAAUCAGUGAGUGAAGAACCAACAUCGACCACAAUUCGACCAUAAUCACUAGUUGAAUAAAGGUUGAAAAGGGAUCGACGCGCCGUCGUCGGUCGCCUUCCAUUCAACGUUGAAUCGACCUGGAACAGUAUGAGCAAACUGCCGUUGAAUCGACCAAAAUUCGACCAUAAUCACUAGUUGAAUAAAGGUUGAAAAGGGGUCGACGCGCCGUCGUCGGCCGCCUUCCAUUCAACGUUGAAUCGACCUGGAACAGUAUGAGCAAACUGCCGUUGAAUCGACCAAAAUUCGACCAUAAUCGUUGAAUAAAGGUUGAAAAGGGAUCGACGCACCGUCGUCGUUCGCCUCCCAUUCAACGUUGAGUCGACGGUGGACAGUAUGAGCAAACUGACGUUGAAUCGACGCCCGGUCUCAACGCUGAUUCAACAUGUUUUGGUUGAAAAUACGGAGGUUGAUUCACCGUUGAUUCAACGCUCUUUUGCUGUCUGGGAUGCUACUCGUAACACUAUGCCUCGUUAUUGCGACGUUCAUGACGUUCAGGUUUUUUCUCCAUCUAUUGAAAGUUAGGCUAUUAAAAAUGUUGCAUUCUAUACAGCCUGAUUAUGUCAUUAUUUAAGCUACAUAGCCUAAUAAGAAGCGCUAAUAAGGAUAUUUGACAAAACCAACCAAACAGUUGAGGGUUUUUGCCUACCAGCAAAAAGCAUCCUCCAACUGCAAUCUUUGGUUAUUUCUUUAUUCAUUUAGCUAUGCUUUAAUAGUAUUCUUUCUGUUUGUAGAAUAUUGGUGUAUUUUAGUGUCUCUCUUUUGUUCACAUUUCUAGCCUAGGAACAGGCAAGGGCCUCUCAUACUGAUACAGGGUUUUUGUUAUGUCCAACAAGGUUGAACCGACCUGGUCCUCCGGGACAUAGCCAGGGCCAGAUACCUUAUCAAUGCUGAGAGUGCGUCUGUUCUCUUGUUAUUGAUAUAUCCCCUUUUUGUAUAAUACUCGCCCCAACCCUUUGGUUCGACGAGUAGAGGGUUCGACAGCCAAGGAAUAAGUCAUCGACCACCGGGUCCACUAUAGAUUAUUCAACCUAAGUCUGUAUCUCGCUGUAUUCCUGGAAAAUAAACCAUCUAUUCAACCCUCUAAUCCAACCUGUCAAUCCAACCAGUAGUAGUUCAAGAAUUACUACUACGACUGAAAAUACACAACGCAGAGUCUGUCCGAACAGUUUAGAAAUAAGCUGGAAUCUCCAAAUUAUUUGUUAUUAAAUGUUACAUUAAGUUAAUUGGUAUAUAUAAGUGUUGUUUAAAUAAAAUGCUUUUUCAAUUUCAAAAAAUCGUGGGAUGUAUCGAACCGUGGGUCAAAAAUCGUGAUACAAACCGAAUCGUGAGUUUGUGUAUCGUUACAGCCCUAGUACCAUCAUUUGAUUAGUCAGCAGACGUAUGCGUCGGUGAUGCAUUUGUCGCCUCCGGUGUCUUUCUUUAGCAGCAGACAGGCGUAAAAACAGAAAAAUGGCCAAGGCAACCGACAUUAUAACCGUUGAGGACGGCAUCAUGAAUUAAUAAUUAAUGCGACUCAAUUGCCGCCUUUGAGAGGGGUCUGUGCGCGUGGAACUCAACUGUAGACAUAUAUCAAGGUAGUGUAAUGUUCUGUUACGUAAUUGGAGGUUUUAUGUGUUUUUCCUUCUGAACACCCACUGAUCGUAACUAAUACGAAUUAACUUUUUAACAUUAUUUAGGAUCUUCAUGCUCUUCCACCGGCACAUUUUGCGUGUUUCCAUCGGUUAUUGUCUACUUUUAAUAAAGAAACCAAAUGCAAUAUGUUCUUGUACUGUUGUGCUUUGAGAUAUAGUGGUCAGUUAGAAUGAAGAUCAAAUCACAUUCCAGUGACCAUAAUGUGUUUGUGCAUGUAAGGCAUGGAUUUUUGUAGCCAUCAACAAAUUAUUCACGACAAGACACGUCUUCUUUUGCAUAGCUCCUCCAAACGAUGUGUGUGUACACUAUCGAUUGAAGGAGCUUGGUUAGAUUUCAUUCCAACCAACUAUGGCAAUGUUUUGAUAUGUUGAGGGGAGCGUCUUAUGUCUGCAUUUAUUUGAAAGAGCAUAUGCACGGAAAAGCAGACGGAGGGAGUUACAAUGGAGAUCCUGCGAGUUUUUAAAGCCAUGUGACGCGGCACAUAGGGAAGUUUAACGCCAGUAUUU